UUGAAAAUUACUGGGAAUAUGGGAAUUUUAGAUAGUGGAAAAGUUUUUAUCAAGGAUAAUUUAAAAAAAAAAGUCAUGGCUAUAAUAAGCUCAAAAAGAGUCAAAAUAUUUCAAAAACUAUACCAUUUACGGAAAAUACUACUACAAAUAUUCCGUGAAAACUUCAAAUAUCUACGGUUAUUAGUUUUUGAGUUUUACCAACAAAAAAAAUUGAUUUUUUCAAAAAUUGGUUUUGCCUAAAAAUUACUACUUUUUUCACUUUUUUUUGUUUUUCCUGACGCUUUCUAAAACUACUGGGAACUUUGGCCCUCAAAGCUUGUCUGUUUUGAUAUUUCCAAAUUUUAGAUCGUACCAAAAUGUCGUGAAGUUGUAUUUCUAAGCAGACAUUCUAAAUUUAAAGUCACACACUCACACCCCUCAAUUAUUUAAUCAAAAAGUAAAAUUUAUCGGUUUGAUCGUUUUUCUGAAAAUCGACCGUCAGUACAUAAUACAAAUCGAACGUCAAAUUGUUGCACCGUCGCCACCAAAUUUACAACAACAACUUGAAACAUAAUUUAUGUUCAUAAUAACCAUAAUAAUAUAAAAUGUUCCUUCCUUGUAUCAGCAUAUACAUUAAACGCCUUAAACAAUUAAGUUUAAUUUAAUUUUACUCUAGUUUAAUGUUUUAUUAGUGUUAACUAUUAUUUAUUUUUGUAACAUAAAUUCAUAAAAUAAAGUCCCUAUAAUAUAAUACCUUGAGUAUAGAAUCAAAAAAUAAUUAAGUGUAAGUACUUAAGUCACGUGAAUAAUAAAAAAAAAUGUGCGUCACGCACCACACUUUGCGAAUCGAUUAAAUCAAUAUAGUGUUAGGUACAACUCGUACAAGUGUACAACUUAUACUUAUUUCAAUACACACAUGAGUGAACAUUUUUUAAGAAAUUAAUUGAAUCUAACGGAUUAACUGAUUAUUAUUACAAUAUAUAUAUAAUAUCUGAUUCAUAUGGCAAUCAAAUUCGCUCAAAGAAACUGCCUUUACCUAUAAUUAAACAAAUACAAUUAAAACAUGUAAAUCAGAAUAGACAUUUUUAUGACGAGUGACUUUAACGACGCAUGCGCUAUUGUGCGAGUGGUACGAUGGUUGAUAAUCAUCAACGCAGCAAAUUUAUGUGAAUAAUAAUGUUUUAAUGUUUAGGUAUAGACAGGAAUUCCCAAGCGGGUUCACGGCUCACAGACAAUGUUUUCAAGUAGGUUAGAUUGGCUGGUUAGGUUGGAUAGAUUAUUUUUAUACCAUAUAAGGAAUAGGUAUAUUGUUAACCAAUGACUUUUAUUUAAAAAAUUUGAUGAUUCCAAUUUAAAUUCGAAUGAGUAGUUUCCGAUUUAUUAAAAUUUACAAUAUACUAAAAAUAAUAUUCCUUAAAAAUGAUUAUACGAAAGUCAAAAACAUAAAAUGUAUGUGAAUCUAGAAUAUUAUGUUCGAAAAUAUGGUCGGUCCUUUAAGUAUACGUCUUAUUAAUUCCAAAAAUCAUAAUUUGAACAAUUUAAUUAUUAAAAGAAAAAAAUUGAUGGGCAUAGGGUGAUAGAUAUUAAGGUGAAUCACCCUGUAAUAUUAUAUUAUUAUGCAAAUAAAAAAAAUCUUUUCCUGACAAUCCAGGAGCCUGUUCUGAAACACAGUGUUGAAAUUAAACAAUACGCCCAUGUAAGCUUUAAAUAUAAAUAUGAUUGGAUUAAGUUUGAAUUUUACAGAUCUUUAAAUAAUAAUACCAGGUAUUAAUUUUGACAAUAUUAAAUUAUUAUAAAGUACUAAUAACAGUUAUACUAUUUUACCACAAACAAUUGGCAAAUAUUCAAUUUUCUUGACAAUAUUCAACACCAACUAUCACAGAUACUUCAAACUUCAAAGGAAAAAUAUUAAUAAUGUCAAUAUCAAAUCGUUACAGUUGGCAAAAUCUAUAGUAACUAAAAUAUAACUUAAUUCUAAAACAAUUAAUGUCAUUCAGAGACAUCUCUGUCAGAUCUAACAUGUGAUAAUAUUAUAUUGCAGUAGGUAUUAUUUAUAAUUCCGUUUGAUGUUUCUUAAUGGACUUCGACUAUCAAUUUUGAAAAAAAAGUAUUACAUACACAGUUUAAGUUAUACUAAAAGUCAGAAUAUAUUUUAAUAAAUAUUUUCAAAAAAAAUGGCUAUACAAAAUAUAGAUAAUCGUUGGAGAUUCAAAAAUAAGAUCACAAAUGUGUACCCUACUUCUUAACACUUGCGUGCGUCCAACGAUCGAUUUAUAUUAUAUAAUAAAUAGUCUGAUUGAAUAAAGUGGUUGUUUAAAAUUAAAUGGUUAUUGGUUAUAGGUAAUAGAUAAUUUUGAUAACAACACCGAAAACGAUAUACUUAGUUGAAGAAAAUAAAGGUUUGGAUUUAAACAUAGUUCGUUUAAAAAACACACGUCCUCGUGCUACUAUGAAAUUAGAAUUAUUCAAGUUCCCAAGUCGCUAUCGCGUAAGUAACAAUAAAUACAAAUAAUUACGAGGCUCGCCAAGCCAGUCGUAUUUCACGGUGCGCCUGCGCUCUCGUGCUGGUGGCGCGAUGGUUGCGAACCCCUACUGCGGUAGACGUAAGUGUAAUAGGUAUACAAUUAUAUUAUAAUUUUCAUACGGAAAAAUUCUCCCCCUCACAGUCCAGUAGCCGGUUCUGAAACACAGCAUGGCGAUCAGUGCAGUUAUUAUACACAAGCUUAUUAGUCUGUUAAGGUCAUGUAAGGCUUAACUAAAUAUAUUUACGAGAGGAUCACGUUUUUAUUUUACAUUCUGUUUAAUAACCACAUUUUUCGUAUUGAAAAUAAUGUUGUACAAACCGAAUUCGAGUACGGCGUCAUUUCACUAUUGAAUUUCCAACGUCAUUUUCGGACUUACAAUCUAACUCCGAGAAUUUAAAUGAACGCGAACCAACCUUUUUUUUUCAGACGUUUCAAGUGAUCAAUUGUAUGAACAUGUUUAUUCUACAGGUACAGAGUUAUUUAUUUGGACAUGAUAUGCUAUGCUUCACUAGUUUUCUAUAAGUCUAUAUUUAAAUGAUUCCGUAUAAAUAAUCUUUUAUAAUGGUUCUUAUGUGCUUACAAUCAAUAAUAAGCCAUAUUAUAACAAUUAAUAUUAUGCAAACAGUAUAAAAACCUUCUAGUAAAAUACGUGUCUUGUAUAGUUGUACGCAAUAAACUCAGGAUACUUCUAGCUACUGGAAACUAAUUAUUAUAAUAUUAAUAUAUACUUUAAUUAUUUCGAAUAAUGUAUUCCAUUACGCAAGUGAAAUGUUUUUUUUUAAUUGUUAAUUGUUAUACAUAUUUUAUACCCAUAUAAAAUAACCGGGACCAUGGUAUUCUGUGGGCCAUCGCCGAACGAACCGCUUUCGUUGACAAGUCACAAUCGCACCCAAUAUUAUUGUGUGCAACUUGGAUAUAAUUAUUUACAUAGUAUUAUACACGUCACAUAAUACCACGUCAAUUAUACCAAUACUAUCUAUUCAGAAUAAGAAUGGAAAAAAACCACGACAAAACCGCGUCACAUUCGAGCAUGCGCAGUCUCGUUGUCUGGCGUCGGUGCACUGCCGACUACUGGCCAAUCACAGCGGUACUACCCUUCCGAGGUAGGCCUUUUCCUUUCUUAUUAUGAAUAGAGUAUAGGUAUUAUCUAUAGUAUGCCUGUACGUCAAAAAGUCAAAAAAGUGUAAUAUAUAGUGAUUUUUAUAAUGAUAAUGAAACUGGUUCAAUUGCUAUUUAAAUAUGAUUCCAAGCAUGUGCGUUUAAAUUUAACUUCCAUUAGAAUUUGUGUAUUAUUUUUGAAAAACUAAACAUACAUUUAUUAUACUGUACAUGAAAAGUUUUCGUAAUUGCAACGGUUCGUGGGUUCGGGUUGGCACCAUCUAUGUCACAAGUCUCAACACAUUUACACUGUUCGCAAUUGCUCUUUUGAUCCGUUUUCCACGCAUAUAAUAAUAUAACCAACUACCCGAGGAAAAGAUAAAUAAAUGAUAAUAUAAUAUAUACUGUUAUUAUUGUUAUUUUUUAUGAAUCGAUCAUAUUAUUUUUUUCUUAAAUAACAUUAUAGCACAUCAAUAAUAACGUUCAAAAUUAUUUUAUAUACACGCCCAAAUUUAGCAGAAUUACAUUCUCGAUUAACUUCGCGUAACCAUCCGUGGAAACCUUGAAAUCAAUACGAUGAUAUCGUGAAUUGUGGUAAUGUUGUAAACUAUCGUAUAAUUAACAUACAACAUUUAGCAAACAAGCUGUUAUUGUCGUUAUUACCUACCUCUACAAACUAAUAGUAUUGUUCAAAAUACAAGUUGGGUGUCCUAUAGCAGGUCCUAAGUAUGUACCCAGGUAAUAUUGCUUUUCGAUUUAAUAAAAAAAAUUUUUAUAUUUUACAAGUACUAACCAAAAUUGUGUAUUCGCGUCUAAAAAGUAUUCUAUAUUCUAGUUCUUAUUUACAAUUUUACACAUAUAUAAUAAUAUUAUAUUAUGCAUUUACGUAAAAAUAAAUAUUAAAAAAUCGAAAAAAAUUGAAAGACAAUUAAAUGUAUAAUAGCUUGCUGGUGUCCAAUAAUCCCUCCAAUAUCUGACAAAAAAAACAUAUAAACACUAAAAUAGUAAAAUCAAACAUGGUUCAUCUUGAUGUAAGUAAGCAUUUUAUUCGGCGGUAAAUAAACCGAAAAAAAACAACAACAAUCUCAUACCAAAUAGGUAGCUCGAAGUUUAUUUAAA